rnacentral:rRNA from 1 species
CCCUUAGAUGUUCUGGGCCGCACGCGCGCUACACUGAUGCAUUCAACGAGUCUAAAACCUGCUCUGAUAGGGGUGGGUAAUCUUUUGAAUGUGCAUCGUGAUUGGGAUAGAUGAUUGCAAUUUUUCAUCUUCAACGAGGAAUGCCUAGUAAACGCAAGUCAUCAGCUUGCAUUGAUUACGUUCCUGCCCUUUGUACACACCGCCCGUCGCUCCUACCGAUUGAAUGAUCCGAUGAAUAUCAUGGAUUGAGGAUGCAAGUAGGUUAGCCUAUCUUCAUCUUCGAGAAGUGAAGUAAAUCUUAUCAUUUAGAGGAAGGAGAAGUCGUAACA